GUCCACGCCGUAAACGAUGUAUGCUAGUUGUUGGGGUCUUAAGGCCUCAGUGACGCAGAGAAAUCAUUAAGCAUACCGCCUGGGGAGUACGGCCGCAAGGUUAAAACUCAAAGGAAUUGACGGGGACCCGCACAAGCGGUGGAGCAUGUUGUUUAAUUCGAAGCAACGCGAAGAACCUUACCCACACUUGACAUCCUUCUUGGGACUUUCAGAGAUGAUUGUCUUCGGUUCGGCCGGGGAAGUGACAGGUGCUGCAUGGCU
rnacentral:rRNA from 1 species